CCCCAGGUCAGGCGGGGCUACCCCGCUGAGUUUA
rnacentral:rRNA from 1 species